rnacentral:rRNA from 1 species
GACAGAGGUGCCGAGCGUUAGGCGGAAUCACUGGGCUUAAAGCGUGUGUAGGCGGACCGUUGAGUACCUUGUGAAAUCCCCCGGCUCAACCGGGGAACGGCUGGGUAUACUGGCGGUCUUGAGCCAUCCAGGGGCAGUCGGAACAGACGGUGGAGCGGUGAAAUGCGUAGAUAUCGUCUGGAACGCCGAAGGUGAAAACAGACUGCUGGGGAUGCGCUGACGCUGAGACACGAAAGCCAGGGGAGCGAACGGG